GGCUGAGGAAUAUUCCAUUGUAGACAUAGACCACAUCUUCUUUGACUAGGUAGGAGUCCCCUUCCUCCCUCGCCACUCCAUGUGUGUCCCUCCCAAAGCUGCGUGCUUGGUCAAAGAGAAUGACCAUCCCCAAUAGAGGAGGACCGUUCUUUGGUCAAGGGUAUACGAGUAGCUGUGCUCCCCUGCUAGAACCUCCAAACAAGCUCUCAAGGACUCCGAUAUUUUAAACAAUUAUUUAGUUGUGUAUCGGCAGAAAUUAAAUAUUCAAAGGUAAUGAGCUUAAUCAUU
ensembl:misc_RNA 7SK 7SK RNA